rnacentral:misc_RNA from 1 species
AAGUCGUAACAAGGUUUCCGUAGGUGAACCUGCGGAAGGAUCAUUAACAAAAUCUAAUUUUACCUUUGUGAAUUGGGCAGCCAAGAAAUUAGCUGCCUCUUUUUUACUACAAGUCUAAAUCUAUACAAUAAUUAUAUAAUAAUUUUUAACAAUGGAUCUCUAGGCUCUU